UUGUCGUCAGCUCGUGUCGUGAGAUGUUGGUUAAGUCCCGCAACGAGCGCAACCCUCGACCUUAGUUGCCAGCAUUCAGUUGGGCACUCUAAGGUGACUGCCGGCUAAAAGUCGGAGGAAGGUGGGGAUGACGUCAAAUCAUCAUGCCCCUUAUGACCUGGGCUACACACGUGCUACAAUGGGCGGUGCAAAGGGUCGCGAACCCGCGAGGGGGAGCCAAUCCCAAAAAGCCGCUCUCAGUUCGGAUUGCAGGCUGCAACUCGCCUGCAUGAAGCCGGAAUCGCUAGUAAUCGCGGAUCAGCAUGCCGCGGUGAAUACGUUCCCGGGCCUU
rnacentral:rRNA from 1 species